rnacentral:tRNA from 1 species
GGUCCGGUAGCUCAGUUGGAUAGAGCAGCAGCCUUCUAAGCUGCGGGUCGAGGGUUCGAAUCCCCCCCGGAUCA